rnacentral:lncRNA from 1 species
ACUCGCACUCAAGGUACGUAUGGCUCCCUGUACCCAUCCACUAAAGCAGUGCUUUAAACACACAAGCCCUUCCACUGCCUUCAGCAGAUCUACUUGCUGUGUGCUGAGUGCUCUGAGCCUCGGAAAUGGAGGGCGGUGGCCAAGUUCUUGGAGAAGGGCUGACCUCUAUUUCCAGAGCCAUCUGGGGUCUCUCACCGGCUGUUUUCCCCGCAGGUGCUUGAGAUUGCUGAGGGCGUGGUGGGCAAUGUUGGCCCCACUCACAACUUCGAGCCCCCUCACUCUCACUACGAUGCCAUCGAGUGCCUGGCCAUCCCGGGAGACAUCCUCUUCAGCGGCUCCAGGGACAAUGGCAUUAAAAAGUGGGAUCUGGAGCAGCAGGGACUUAUCCAGCGACCUGACACUGAAGCUCUGCAGAGGGAGGAGGUUACCCACUGGCUCCAGCUAGGAACUACAGAACGACUGGAAGAUGUGGCAGCGGGGUGAAGGCUGGGCUACGUCUCCCUUGCUACCAAGACCCCGUCGUCUACGGGAGUUCAGCCCACGGAUGGGAAUUUUUGUGCCUGACCCAACAGCGCUGACCACAUCCAUCUUGCCCCAUCUUUGAGCACUCACAGAUCCCGUGAACAGGCAGCUCCGUGGAGCACCAUCAGCUCCACCUUCCCUCCUGCUGCAGUUUCUCAGUGGUUUUCCAGCGACCAGCAAAGACUGCAUCUCUCUUCUCACCCACCCCGCUCUGCUGCCUGCCGGGUCUGCGAGGGGCUGGAGUCCAGGUGGGCUCCUUCUCAGAGACACACAGUUCCCUCCUGCCACCGUCCGUGGCUUCAUGCAGCCUCUGCCUGGAUCAGCUUCUUCUGUCCCCGCUGCCUCCUGGGUUCGUUCCUGCAGGAGCCUUUCUCCUCAAGGCUAUUGGAAGUCUUCUGGCAGGGACCAGAGGUCGGCUUGUAUUUUUUUUUUUUUUGGAGACAUUAUUGUGGGACAUCCUCUGUGCUGCGGUGGUGUGGGGGAGAUGUAACACCAAGGAGCUCAACAGACUGGUAGAUCUUAUCGCUGUGAGGCCUUGGGAGUCUGGAGACAGGGCUAAAGUGGAAACAGGAUGCUCCUUUCGAGUGUGCAGCUAAUCUUGUCACAUCUGGGACAGUUAAGGAACCCUUUGUUUGUUAUCUAUGUUGUUGGGAAGAACUUAACGCCAAUUAACUGUGAGUGGAUUUACUGCUUACGAGUGGAGGAUAUAUAAGAUGUAUGUUAAACACAAUAAAAAGGGCUUACUAUUCUGAUGCUACA